GUGGGUGUAGCUCAGUUGGUUAGAGCGCCAGGUUGUGGCCCUGGAGGUCGUGGGUUCGAACCCCAUCACUCACCCCA
rnacentral:tRNA from 1 species